rnacentral:misc_RNA from 1 species
CAUAAUUACAACAAACUCGAGAAUCAUUGAUUACCUCAUAAAUCCAUGCCCUGGAAUAGUAAAUCCUCAGAUGCAAAUGCAAAAUCCAGUAAAAAAUUCACGUUUUAAUGGUUUCUAUUCUGGGUGCUGGAAUGCAAGAUCUAGCUUCCUCUUCAGAUGAGAUCUGUCAGCGCUGUUAAUUGUGGGUCUGCUCAUGGGUCUUGAUCCGAAGAUAGAAAAAUCCAUUGACAUCGGAUUCCUGUCAGCAUAAUUUCCAGCUGCCUGUCUGAUUUCACCAUGUUCAUCAAUCUUAUCAACUUGAUUUGCAUUUCCAUCAUAUCCCUCUCGGUCAGGCAUCACUCUUCUUGCCUUCCUUGGAGGUGAUAACACAGUGGGUCCCUCCAGUGGAUGAAAAUCUGAAGCCCUAGGAUUGACAGAUUCCCGCUUGGGGGCAGGUCUAGGGAGCUUAGCCGGCUCAGUAGGCAGAGGUGCAGAUGUGAAGUACCUGUGCUCUAAUGCCUGUUCCACUGAAAUUCUAACUUUUGGAUCAUAAGUAAACAUCUUUGCCAGCAGAUCUAAAGCGUCAUCACUAGCCAUCGGAAACAAUUUACGCCAAGGUUGUGCAGGAACAGAUUGGUAUUCCACAUAAUCAGGGAGGUAUACUAAAUCAGGCCACUGUGAAGGUGUUGGAGUCCCUAUAGCUUGAAAAAUCUUUCCUAAUUGAUCAAUGUCGCUUGUCCCCUGCAGAAAUGGUCGACGGAGGAGGAGUUCAGCAAAUAUACAGGCUGCAGCCCAAACAUCAACCCCAGAACCAUAUUGUUUGGUGCCAAAAAGCAGCUCAGGCGCUCUAUACCAUCGAGCAAAGACUUGGUGAGUGAACUUGCGAUCUGGGCUUCCAAAUAUGCGUGCCAAACCAAAAUCUGCAAGUUUAAGCUGUCCAUUAGAUGCUAUCAACAAGUUGUUUGGCUUCAUAUCUCUAUGCAAAACCCAUUUCCUAUGGCAAUAAGCCAGUCCUUUCAAUGUCAUUUGGAAGUAUGAUUUUAUGUCAGCUGGUGAAAGAAAUAUGUUUCGAUCACGAAUAACUGCUUCAAGAUCAGUCUCCAUGAACUCGAACACAAGAUGCAAGUUCCCUUUGUGAGGGAAUGCAUCAAUCAACUCAAUUAUAUUUGGGUCUUUAAGCUCUUUAAGCAGUUUAAUCUCUCUAAGUGCUGUAAAAUUAACCCCCUCCUUUUGCUUCCCAAGCCGAAUUUUCUUAAUUGCCACUGUCUGUCCAGUCUUAGUAUCGAUGGCUUUGUAGACUACACCGUAAGUACCUUCACCAAGCACUUCACGCUUUAGAUACCUAUCUGCAACUUUCUUUUCUGUAUCGUUUUCUGGCAUUUUAUGCUUGUUUCUUUUCUUUUC